CUGGCAAUAAUUAAAGUCUUGUUUUCAAAUUCUUUAAAAAAUUGCAACAGGGGAGGGGGUAUAAAAUGUAUAGUAAAGAAAAACUUAGAGUAUACACAGUGAUUUCUUUAAGACUAUAAUUCUGAUAAAUGAGUCAUAAUGUGAGAAAAACUGAUUUUAGAGAGUUUUCUAUUUGAAUAAAUGUCUGUAUAGGUUGCACUUUGUAAAUACAGCUGUUUCUGACAACACACCUCUUUUGGGGAGAAAUAGAAUAUUCAUAGAAAAUUAAUUUUGUUUACAUACUGGUUCCCAGUUAUGCUCUCUGUGUUCCAUAUCGCAGAGACAGAACUGGGGAAUGUUACCAGUAAAUAAACACGUGCAUAUUGUUUACAUUGAAAUCUGUGGUAACCUUUCAUUCGAGGUAGGGGUAGUUAAGAAAAUAAGUGUAAG
rnacentral:lncRNA from 1 species